rnacentral:rRNA from 1 species
AAUUACUUUGAACAAAUUAGAGUGCUUAAAGCAGGCUCCAAAUGCCUGAAUAUUUUGUGCAUGGAAUAAUGAAAUAAGACCUCUGUUCUACUUUCAUUGGUUUUUAGAUCAAGAGGUAAUGAUUAAUAGAAGCAGUUUGGGGGCAUUAGUAUUACGACGCGAGAGGUGAAAUUCUUGGACCGUCGUAAGACUAACUUAAGCGAAAGCAUUUGCCAAAGAUGUUUUCAUUAAUCAAGAACGAAAGUUAGAGGUUCGAAGGCGAUCAGAUACCGCCCUAGUUCUAACCAUAAACGAUGCCAGCUAGCAAUUGGGUGUAGCUACUUUCAUGGCUCUCUCAGUCGCUUCCCGGGAAACCAAAGCUUUUGGGCUCCGGGGGAAGUAUGGUUGCAAAGCUGAAACUUAAAGGAAUUGACGGAAGGGCACCACCAGGAGUGGAGCCUGCGGCUUAAUUUGACUCAACACGGGAAAACUUACCAGGUCCGAACAUAAGUGUGUAAGACAGAUUGAUAGCUCUUUCUCGAAUCUAUGGGUGGUGGUGCAUGGCCGUUCUUAGUUCGUGGAGUGAUUUGUCUGGUUAAUUCCGAUAACGAACGAGACUCAAAUAUAUUAAAUAGAUGCUUUCAGGAUUAUGGUGCUGAAGCUUGUGUAGCCUUCAUUCAUGACUGCAGUAAAAUGUAUAAGUGUUUGAAUGUGUUUAUUCAAGUGGAGCCGAACCUGUUGGUUUGUCCCAUUAUAAGGACACUAGCUUCUUAAAUGGACAAAUUGCGUCUAGCAAUAAUGAGAUUGAGCAAUAACAGGUCUGUAAUGCCCUUAGAUGUCCUGGGCUGCACGCGCGCUACAAUGAAAGUAUCAACGUGUAUUUCCUAGACCGAGAGGUCCGGGUAAACCGCUGAACCACUUUCAUGCUUGGGAUUGUGAACUGAAACUGUUCACAUGAACUUGGAAUUCCCAGUAAGUGUGAGUCAUUAACUCGCAUUGAUUACGUCCCUGCCCUUGUACACACCGCCC